rnacentral:siRNA from 1 species
UAGAAAGAGAUGGGGUCUUAC